AUCGUGUCAUUAUCUAUUGCACCUUUAACUUGCACAGAAAAAAAUCUCUUCUUCCUUUUGCAAGUGCAUUAUGGUUCGCCAAAUAAUUUCUCGGUCACUCGUUUUCAUUGGCUCAUAUGUAUCUCUCUGUAUGUGCGGGCUUUUCUGUUUUCUUUUCUUUUCUUUUCUUUUCUUUUGCAGCAAUGGUUAUGGCAGUUCGUUUGCCGAAAGCAGGCAAAGCACUGAAAUAUAUUUAAGAGAAAAAGGGCAAGAAGAUUAUUUCGAUCGUCCUCAACGUUCAUCCGGCGACGGCGUGCUUAAUGUUGUAAGAAUAAAAGACGAGGUGUCUAAGAAUUAUUUACCCAGACUCUGUGAAAUGAUGAUAAGCAGCCUAUCUAGUGCUUGUGCGAACAACGAUUCACCAGUCUCAUCACCAAUCAGUAAACAUUCUCAUGUGACUGCAAAAGAGAUUUGGCCUGCAGGGAAUUAUGAUCUGCUGUGUCACCUUCAGAAGAGACCGAUUGAUGGAGGGGCAGCCCUAUCCAAUAAGACAACGUCGUACAACACCUUCGGUGCAGCGUCUUCGUCGUCAAGCUCCAAUUUAUCAGCCCCCGAGAUGUCUCCUUCUUCACUGCUGUCAUGCUCUCUCGAUUCAAGUUCACAAAUGUUGCUGGGCGGCAGUUCUCGUGGCCUUGGUCUUUCCUGCGAUGCUUUAGGUCUCGACGACGACGUGCAACGGCGAGAAAAUAGUCCAUCGAACAGCUCAAACAAAUUUUCAGCAUCAGUGAGCGGGGUUGCAGGGGCGAAAACGUCUCGCAGUUGCUCUCAGCUGAAGGAAUACGAAGCAAAAGCCAAGUCGAGACCUUCGUGCCCUCCCCUAAAGGUGAGAAAGGAAAGGCUAGGAGACAGGAUUCAAGCACUUCAGAAGUUAGUGGCACCUUCUGGGAAGGUACGUGCGCCGUCCGUUCGUCGUCUCUGAAUGUUUGUGGUUAAAGAAAUUACAAGUGACCAAUACUGCCUCCGUAUUGGAUGAAACUGUAGGCUACAUCCACUUCCUUCAUGGCCAGAUACAGGUUUUCAACAUCUUCACUUUUUUCCCUCCGCAAUAACCAAGAUGACAGUGGUAUCUGGAAAAUAAUAUCCAAUCGCUAAAAUUAAAACAAGACUCUGAGCAUAUCUUAUAUGAAGUCAUCGAAGACCAAGCGCCUCCGAACGGUACAGUUUGUAAUACGUUGUGUGCAUAUUUAGCCGCCAAGUAUGAAAAGCCUUUAUAAUCUGAGAUAGCUAUUAUCUUCAAACAAAGAAAUAAAAUUAAAGGCGGUUUGGUUAGGGCUGAGAAAAUCAUAGCUAAAUGACAUUAUGGGAUGGGAUUAUCAUUAUUGAUUGAAGUUCGUCAUCACGUUGCAAGAUGGAUCUAAAAUUGUUUAGUUUGGCCACAGUUACAGGAUUUUAGAGAGGAAAAGAGCAGAGAAUCGAAGCCAGACCUCAGAAGCAGAGGCCUCUGCCUUGUUCCCCUUUCCUACGCUUCAUAUAUCCAUAACUUGGACUAGUUAUUGAUUCAUUUUCUGUGUGUAUAUCAAUAAGCAGAUUUGUUUUCUUCACCACCAUUUGCCCUCCUAUAAGCAGAUUUGUUUUUCUGAACAUUUCAAGUUAGUGUAUAGAUUUGAAUUAGACGCA